AAAAGAAUAAAAAUAAAGAGGACUGUACAGAGAGUCUUCUGUACUUCAAAAUCAUAAGUGUCAUAAUUUAAAGUAUAAUAAAAAGUGGUAUUAUCACUGAGAUUUGUUCAAUAAUGAUUAAACAAGGGAGCAGACAAUGUUGCACAGUAUGGACCAUGCUUCUACUUCCAGGCACAAAGAUACAACCGUAGACGAAAAUCUGUGUAUCAUUUUGAAUUAACUAGACAUUUUAAUAAAAGUGGCAAAUGCUACGUUUGAUUUCCAGAAACUGAAAAACAUGCCCAAAGAAAUAAAACAGAAAAUAUAAAAACAGAGACCUAAUUUAGUAAAAACGAAAGCAUACAAAUUAGCCAAUUCACAAGACACUUCAUUCUGUGACUGUACAAUUUGACCUGCUACUGAAUUCAAAGACGAAAAGAACAUUUCCAACGAGGCAUUUAUUUCUGGUUUUACAGGGUAGCAGCAGACACUGCCAAGCCUUGUCGCAUGCUCUGAGGCUUGGCAGCUUGACCUACAUAGAUGAAAACAAAAUCUCUGAUGCUGACCCUAGACUUGUGGAUUCAGGAAGGCUGGCCUAAACUAACGGUGAUAGCUCUCAAUGGUCAACUGGACUAUCAUCAAAAUGAACUGCAUCUUACAGAGACUUGUCACAAAAGAAAAAGGCACUGAAUUGUUCCAGCUGAAGCCCUUUAAGGAUGUAGGUACAACCAUCUGUUUUUUAAUGUACUGUACCUAUGUGACCAUUCUGGUGUUUUACAAAGAUAUGGAACAGAAGUUAACCUUCAAUCUACAGUUCACAAAGAACAACAAGACCCAAGAAUUAGAUGCAGUUGAUGGUGUUCAUUAAGUAUCUAGGUGAAAUGGGUCUUGACUGCUUGACUGAAGGCCUGCCCUUUGGAGGCUGGGACCCUCAUAAAAAAGGGGAACUAGGAAGAUGGAGGAGUGAGAUGGAGGGAUGUCAGACAAAAUGCAAAAAAGUGGGGUUUCCUUAUGGUAGAUAGAGCUUUUGAGAAAUAAUUUUGCGAAUUAUGAUUUAGACUAGCUGGGACGUAGAGUGACUUGGUGACUUGGCAUAGUUCAUGAAUUUCAAGUAAGAUCUCCAUUACAAAAUUUGAGAGAACAUUAUCUGGCAUAUUUUUCUCAAGAAUAAGUGCAGUAUUCACUGUGUGCAGGUGAUAGAGGUACACACCACAAGGAAAGUUUUGUUGUACUAGCGUUCUUUUCUGUUCUGACUGUCUCUUCCUUGGCCUGACUACACUGUUCUGGUUAUUUUGUGUUGCAUUAACAUACGUUGUCUGAGAAGCACAAUCUUGUAUCAUCUUGUAUCCUAUUUAAACCUGCUGGAAAGCCCUGCGCCAUUUAAAAAGCUUCUUACAGGUGGCACGCUGCUGACGCGCUCCAUUAGCCCUCUAUGUGUGACAGUGGUCCUCUUUCGGUAAGCUUGGAUACUGUUUGCAAAAACAAGAUAACUACAGGCCUGCUUAUCUGGCAAAGAUCAAUACCUGCUUUUUGAGGUUUGUUGACCUAAGCUGAAUACAUAUGGUACUGAAGGCCAUUGUGUAAGCCUGUUUUUGUAUAAUAGUGAUUCAAAGUCAGGGGCAGAAGAACUGAAACUCAUGUACAGUAACUAGAAAUGAAUAUGAUCAAACUCCAUUCUUUAUACAUUUUCUGGUUUUGUCUAAUAUCUCAAUGUAUUUCAAAGAGUUAUUGUGCUUAUGCUUGUUGCACACAUUACUGAAUAUUGACCAACAAUGAUGUCGUUAAGAAAGGAGAAUAAAAGGCAAUAACAGUAACAAUAUGUUACGAUAUUUUUCAUCUCUCUUUCAGUAUAUACUGUUAAAAUACAACUGGUGAUGAUCAAUUUCUAAUUUUAUAAUAGCAUUUUUUAAACAAACUUAUUUUUAUAUUGUGUCAUUUAGAUUUAUUCACACAAACACAAGCAUUCAUUUAUCUAAUAAGUUAACAUUUGAAGAAAUGUUAUAUUGUUAAUAAAUAUGAAUUUAUUCCUGCCUUGCCCCCUGUGCUUCUGGGUGCGAGAUGAGGAAUAAGACUUCCUGAUAAUGGUUAUAGAGUAAAAUAUCAAUUUUAUGUAGCUAUAAGGGUCUAAUAAUAAAACACAUUUUUUCAGUUCUCUCUUUGUUUUCAUAUCUCGUGUCAUUUUUGCAUACAUAUUGCACUGUGCAGCACAGGCUUGAACUGAGAAUGCUUCAGAUCAGCUAAGAUCUACAUUUAUGAUGAGCACCAUCUUUCUCUACUGAAAGACCACAGUAAAAGCUCACAGACAGUGAAAUCCACUGUGGUACUCAAGGCACUGCAGAGCAGAGCAACGGUUUGCAUAAUGAUUCAUUUAGUGUUUUGUAUCAUAUUGUGUUAUUUUUUGCACCUAACCUUUAUAUGCCAAUGAGAGGUAAAACAAAUUAAAUAAAAAUAAGCAUUUUCAAUAAACAUGCUGAACCUUUCAGGUUUCAUUUUUCUUUUAGCUUUUUAUUUGUAAAAAUGUGCCACUUUGUAACAUUCCUUAUUGCAUUGCAAUUUGCAUGCCACGUUCCCAAUGCAUUGCAAUAUACUCUUUUUUCGAACCCUAAAGGUAACUAUUUCUCCACAUAAUGUAAUAGAAUCAGUUCAGAGUCAAAAAAAAUAUAGAGCACAAGGAACUAGCCUGAACUUCAGACUGUACUUUAUACAGUAGGUCUGGUGGUGCAGUUUAUAUUUAUCUGUCGUAACUAAAACAGCUCUAACCAAGAGUUGAAUAACACAAGUUCUAUGGGUUCAGUCUAAAAUAUUGAAAUGACUGAGCAAGAUGUUGACACAAGAGGUUCUUAUAAAAAAUGAACACAUUUUUCAAAAGACUUAUUUAUAGUUCAAAAGAUUCAAAAGAUUUACAGUUCAUAAAACAUAGA